ACGAACGCUGGCGGCAUGCCUAACACAUGCAAGUCGAACGAGACCUUCGGGUCUAGUGGCGCACGGGUGCGUCACGCGUGGGAACCUGCCCUUAGGUUCGGAAUAACUCCCCGAAAGGGGUGCUAAUACCGGAUAAUGUCUUCGGACCAAAGAUUUAUCGCCUUUGGAUGGGCCCGCGUUGGAUUAGCUAGUUGGUAGGGUAAAAGCCUACCAAGGCGACGAUCCAUAGCUGGUCUGAGAGGAUGAUCAGCCACACUGGGACUGAGACACGGCCCAGACUCCUACGGGAGGCAGCAGUGGGGAAUAUUGGACAAUGGGCGAAAGCCUGAUCCAGCAAUGCCGCGUGAGUGAUGAAGGCCUUAGGGUUGUAAAGCUCUUUUACCCGGGAUGAUAAUGACAGUACCGGGAGAAUAAGCUCCGGCUAACUCCGCG
rnacentral:rRNA from 1 species